rnacentral:rRNA from 1 species
UACGUAGGGUGCAAGCGUUGUCCGGAAUUAUUGGGCGUAAAGAGCUCGUAGGCGGUCUGUCGCGUCUGCUGUGAAAACUCAGGGCUUAACCCUGAGCUUGCAGUGGGUACGGGCAGACUAGAGUGCGGUAGGGGAGACUGGAAUUCCUGGUGUAGCGGUGAAAUGCGCAGAUAUCAGGAGGAACACCGGUGGCGAAGGCGGGUCUCUGGGCCGUAACUGACACUGAGGGACGAAAGCUAGGGGAGCGAAAGGG